CCUACGGGUGGCUGCAGUGGGGAAUAUUGGUCAAUGGGCGCAAGCCUGAACCAGCCAAGUAGCGUGAAGGAUGACUGCCCUACGGGUUGUAAACUUCUUUUAUAAAGGAAUAAAGUGAGUCGCGUAUACCUUUUUGUAUGUACUUUAUGAAUAAGGAUCGGCUAACUCCGUGCCAGCAGCCGCGGUAAUACGGAGGAUCCGAGCGUUAUCCGGAUUUAGUGGGUUUAAAGGGAGCGUAGAUGGGUUGUUAAGUCAGUUGUGAAAGCUUGCGGCUCAACCGUAAAAUUGCAAUUGAUACUGGCAGCCUUGAGUACAGUUGAGGUAGGCGGAAUUCGUGGUGUAGCGGUGAAAUGCUUAGAUAUCACGAAGAACUCCGAUUGCGAAGGCAGCCUACUAAACUGCCACUGACAUUGAUGCUCGAAAGUGUGGGUAUCAAACAGGAUUAGAUACCCCAGUAGUC
rnacentral:rRNA from 1 species